GGUGGCUCAGUGGUAGAGUGCUUGCCUAGCAUGCAUGAGGCCUUGGGUUCGAUUCCUCAGCACCA
rfam:Dipodomys ordii contig_54625, whole genome shotgun sequence.